GACAGAGGGUGCAAACGUUUGUUCGGAAUUACUGGGCGUAAAGCGCGUGUAGGCGGCUAAGUAAGUCGGGCGUGAAAUCCCACGGCUCAACCGUGGAAGUGCACUCGAAACUGCAUAGCUAGAGUCCUGGAGAGGAAGGUGGAAUGCUUGGUGUAGAGGUGAAAUUCGUAGAUAUCAAGCGGAACACCGGUGGCGAAGGCGGCCUUCUGGACAGUGACUGACGCUGAGACGGACGAAAAGCGUGGGGAGCAAACAGGG
rnacentral:rRNA from 1 species